UUCACUGCCAAGGUCCUCGACACAGGAACACUUGAUAUGAGGUAUCUAGUCAAUGAACUCUUCACUGCCAAGGUCCUCGACACAGGAACGCUUGAUAUGAGGUAUCUAGUCAAUGAACUCUUCACUGCCAAGGUCCUCGACACAGGAACACUUGGUAUGAGGUAUCUAGUCAAUGAACUCUUCACUGCCAAGGUCCUCAACACAGGAGCACUUGGUAUGAGGUAUGUAGUCAAUGAACUCUUCACCGCCAAGGUCCUCAACACAGGAAUGCUGGAUAUG